GGUACAGGCCCUGGAUCACUUUUCGAGCGUCCUCGUACCCCACUCGAUACGAGAUGAAACCGCUCUCCAAGAGUUCCUCCCGAUAUUCAUCGGAGCCGCGAAAGUCCUCCACGGCCCGACCUAUAGCCUCUUUCGCCGACUCUGCCUCCGCUCUCGCUAUGUCUGCGUCGGCUUGAGCGGAGGAUAAAUUCUCCUCGACCUUGACGAGAUUUUUCAAACUUACCC
rnacentral:lncRNA from 1 species